rnacentral:rRNA from 1 species
UACGAAGGGGGCUAGCGUUGCUCGGAAUUACUGGGCGUAAAGCGCACGUAGGCGGGUCGUUAGGUCGGGGGUGAAAUCCUGGAGCUCAACUCCAGAACUGCCCUCGAAACUGGCGAUCUUGAGUUCGGGAGAGGUGAGUGGAACUGCGAGUGUAGAGGUGAAAUUCGUAGAUAUUGGGAAGAACACCGGUGGCGAAGGCGGCGAUCUGGGUCGAUACUGACGCUGAGGUGCGAAAGCGUGGGGAGCAAACAGG